UCUCACUCUCUCUCUCCACAAAGACCCGUUGCUCUACGAGAAAGAUCGUCAAAUCGCAGUGCAGGGUGAUAUGGAUCGAGCCGGGGAAGGUCGCCAGGAAGUGCGAGAAGAUUGAGGAGAUCCUCAGGGCUGCCUCAGAAGUUGAGGUGUACGUGAGGUUUGAGUGAGUCUUUUUUGCUAAGAAAUUGGGGCUGUUGAGAAUCAUCAUGUUGCCCUCUUGGAUGCUCAAUUUACUAUGUGAGCCAAGAAGAGGGCAUUCAAGUCAAGGAGGUGGGCAGUGAUGUAAAGACUUGAUGAGAUUGCAGGCUCAAACUUCCACACAAACCGAGGACCAAAAUUCAAUCUGAAGGGAUACUAACGCAGCUACAGGAAAUAAUGUUUCAGCUUAAAUUUGAUUCUUACUGUAAUCAAUAUCAUUUAAUUCGUUUUCUCCUUUUUAUGUUAACUAAUUUGUUUUUAAGCAUUUGUGUGUUACAUUGGAUUGCUCUCUACACGCAUUUUAUUUUAAUGGGUGGCUGUUUAAGUCUUGCUUUAAUACGUACCUCAACUCUAGCCACACGUACUUAUUGACCUGACUCUGUAUUGACUUUUUUUGGCUAUCUUACCUCAACUCCAGGCUGUAUAAGUUUUUUUGAGUGCCCAUUUUUUUCAUUUGUCAAUACCUCAGUUGAACUAUGUUGG